AGUGAACGCUGGCGGUAUGCCUAACACAUGCAAGUCGAACGGCAGCACAGUAAGCUCUUGCUCUUACGGUUGGCGAGUGGCGGACGGGUAAGGAAUACAUCAGCAUCUACUUUUUCUUGGGUGAUAACGUAAGGAAAGUUACACUACUACCUCAUACAACCUACCGCUUAAAUCAAUGGAGCUUCACACCUUUCGCGAUUGUAUUAGCCGAUGUCGCAUUAGCUAGUUGGUUUGGUAAAGUCCCACCAAGGCGACGAUGCGUAGCUGGCCUGAGAGGAUGAUCCGCCACACUGGAACUGAGACACGGUCCAGACUCCUACGGGAGGCAGCAGUAGGGAAUCUUCGGCAAUGGGCGAAAGCCUGACGGAGCAAUGCCGCGUGAGUGAUGAAGGUCUUCGGAUUGUAAAGCUCUGUUAUUAGGGAAGAACAAAAGUGGAAUAAACUAUGGAUGUUUUGACGGUACCUAAACAGAAAGCCACGGCUAACUUCGUG
rnacentral:rRNA from 1 species